rnacentral:lncRNA from 1 species
UGAUCCCCUUCCCUUGAGAGGAGUUAGCAAGAAACAGGACUAGCGCAUCUCUGAGAACACCUUCUGUUGGCUUUCCUUCCAGGAAGAAAAUGAGCAUAAAGUUAGCACUGAGCUUUUCUGGAACCACGGACAUGGGAGACACCAGAAAGUUUUCUGAAUAAAUACAAGAAGCCUCUUCUGGAGUCUCCAGGAAAACGGACGAUAAUUUGUAGCUCAAUGUAUCUCCACUUUUUUUUUUUUUCUGUGACUUGCUGACGUGUAUCUUGAAUUGGAGAGAGUAAAAUGAAGAAUUUGAACUCCUGGGCCAGAAACAUGCAAGUGGUUCGGAUCAAGGUAAUUUUGAUCCCUGCUGACUUCAGAGGACAGUUUGAAAGGAGACUUCUUCCCUUCUCUCAAGGGCUGAUUGCUGACGUCCAAAUAUGUCUCAAGGUUUAGUUCCUUGUAGAUGGAGCCAUCUCCCCAAAUAUGGAAAGUUCUCCUUUGAGUUUAAUCAAAUCAAGGCAGAGAAUUUUCUCCAUACUGAACAAAAUAUACAGUGCACUUCUGUGUUUCUUGUAAAGCACCUCAGAUCUGUGUAUGAGGAUGGCCUAAAAUUCCACUAA